UACGUAGGUGGCAAGCGUUAUCCGGAUUUAUUGGGCGUAAAGGGAACGCAGGCGGUCUUUUAAGUCUGAUGUGAAAGGCUUCGGCUUAACCGGAGUAGUGCAUUGGAAACUGGGAGACUUGAGUGCAGAAGAGGAGAGUGGAACUCCAUGUGUAGCGGUGAAAUGCGUAGAUAUAUGGAAGAACACCAGUGGCGAAAGCGGCUCUCUGGUCUGUAACUGACGCUGAGGUUCGAAAGCGUGGGUAGCAAACAGG
rnacentral:rRNA from 1 species